UACUCCCUUUCAAGCAUUCACAAACACAAUUUAAAAUUCUUAUUUUAAAAGAAACCAACAACACACUCUCCUUCCUAAAAACCAUCGGCUAUUCUCUCUCUACUGAGUUCUUUCCCAAAUAAACCCCGUCGGCUCUCCCUCUCUCUCCCAGAAUCGCAACACCGAAAGAAUGAGAAAAAAAGAUUAGAACUCCGUCGCUUGCUCCAAAUCGCCGCUGCACCGGAGUCGACGCCGCUGCUGACUCCGAUUCGUCCCCCACGGAAGCUCCAGGUGCCGCCGUUGUCUCCGGCCGAACGGCAGCUGUCCCUCCUCCGUCUCUACCCUUCUUUCUUUCUCUCCGGUAGGGAUUAUAUUUUUCAGUUGAGACAGAGGGCUAAGGUGAUUUAAAAUUAUCCUAAAUGAAUGCAAGGAAUUUAAUGCUAGGAAUUGAUCGGUGGUUACCUUCUUAGUCGUAUAAAAUGUCAAGAUUUGAAGGAGAAGCUUCAUCAAGUUUUACCUUUAGUGUGCAGCCGAAGAUAUCUGCAUUCAUGUAAACAAGAACUUCAGUCAAAGUGGAUUAGUCAGAUCUUGAACUUUCUCUUAUUGUAAUGUUGAUUAUUAAAAUAUUGUUCAUUGAAAUAAUGAUUCGAUUUUAAUUUUUUAAUUUUUAUUACUA